UAAAAGCUGAUGUUAACAGGUUUAAUCCCUUUAGUCCCUGACCAUUGCGAUUCCUAUAACUUUGUUUCCACUGUUCGCCAGUGGUGGCUUUGUUAACAGCACAUUGAGCAUAACCUUGGGCCCUUCUGCUUGGAGUUCAUGACACUAGCCAUGACUUUUUUUUUGACAGGUGACCUCCUAGAUCAAUUCAAGGAGCAGGAGUUGGCCAAAUCAGGGCCAAAAGACAUGGACAACACCAGGCAGCGGGUCGCCAAUGUCCGGGAAUUCCUCCUCCUUUGUUGUGAUGGAGUGCCGCGGAGGGACCCGCUGGCCUUAAAAGACCAGAGGCGGCUGGCUGUGUGUGUACUAUAUUGUCUACUAUAUGUAUACUAUAUGUCGCUUUUGAUGUCACGUCUGCUAAAUACUUCACCUAAUAGGCACAUCUCCUCAAGGCGGCUGACCACAGCCAAUUCAUUGUCCUGGCCGGCAGGAAACGUUCAAAGUGUUGAAAUACAAUGACAACAAAAUCAUUAUUAGAAUGCUUUGAUAAUACAAUGACGAGGCCUGAUGGAUCAACGCCAUCAGAAACAUCACCAUCCAGGAGGUCGAAGAAACAUCACCAUCAGAAACAUCACCAU
ensembl:lncRNA